UGCAAGCCAAGCUGACUGGUGGUC
rnacentral:piRNA from 1 species